UGGUGGAGUGAUUUGUCUGCUUAAUUGCGAUAACGAACGAGACCUUAACCUGCUAAAUAGCCAGGCUAGCUUUGGCUGGUCGCCGGCUUCUUAGAGGGACUAUCGGCUCAAGCCGAUUGGAAGUUUGAGGCAAUAACA
rnacentral:rRNA from 1 species